UACCAGCACCCCGAGUGGCCGGGACGAUUAUUGGGCCUAAAGCAUCCGUAGCCGGUCAUGCAAGUCCUCCGUUAAAUCCACCUGCUUAACAGAUGGGCUGCGGAGGAUACUACAAGGCUAGGAGGCGGAAGAGGCAAGCGGUACUCAGUGGGUAGGGGUAAAAUCCUCUGAUCCAUUGAAGACCACCAGUGGCGAAGGCGGCUUGCCAGAACGCACUCGACGGUGAGGGAUGAAAGCUGGGGGAGCAAACCGG
rnacentral:rRNA from 1 species